rnacentral:rRNA from 1 species
UACGUAGGGUGCAAGCGUUGCCCGGAUUUAUUGGGCGUAAAGGGCGCGUAGGCGGCUCUGCACGUUCGUUGUGAAAUCGCCCGGCUCAACUGGGCGGGGUCAGCGGAUACGGCAGAGCUUGAGCAAGCUAGGGGGCAAUGGAAUUCCCGGUGUAGUGGUGAAAUGCGUAGAGAUCGGGAGGAACACCCGUGGCGAAGGCGGCCAACUGGGCCGACCCUGACGCUGAGGCGCGAAGGCGUGGGGAGCGAACGGG